ACGAACGCUGGCGGCGUGCCUAAUCCAUGCAAGUAGAACGCUGAAGGCGGAGCUUGCUCUUCUGGAUGAGUUGCGAACGGGUGAGUAACGCGUAGGUAACCUGCCUGGUAGCGGGGGAUAACUAUUGGAAACGAUAGCUAAUACCGCAUAAGAGUAGAUGUUGCAUGACAUUUACUUAAAAGGUGCAAUUGCAUCACUACCAGAUGGACCUGCGUUGUAUUAGCUAGUUGGUGGGGUAACGGCUUACCAAGGCGACGAUACAUAGCCGACCUGAGAGGGUGAUCGGCCACACUGGGACUGAGACACGGCCCAGACUCCUACGGGAGGCAGCAGUAGGGAAUCUUCGGCAAUGGACGGAAGUCUGACCGAGCAACGCCGCGUGAGUGAAGAAGGUUGUCGGAUCGUAAAGCUCUGUUGUAAGAGAAGAACGAGUGUGAGAGUGGAAAGUUCACACUGUGACGGUAUCUUACCAGAAAGGGACGGCUAACUACGUG
rnacentral:rRNA from 1 species